CCGCGGUUUCGGUUCCGGGAGUCCGGAUUUUUGUGCGCCCAGGCCUUGCUUUCGCGCCCGGCUGGGGAUAACUGCGCAGCCACCGUAGGGCUGGCCGACCGCCAGGCGCGGGCGCGCGAGCGGGCGCGCAGGCGUUUGUGCGCACGCGCCCUCGGACGCGCGUGCGCGCGUAUAGUCCGGGAACUGGGAACAGGAAGCAGAGGGGAAGGGGUGGGGUUGAACCCGGGUCUCGCGCAUGCGGGCGGCAUACAAAGCAUUUGGCGGGUUUUUCCGGGCUGCUCUGCUCUAAUCCGGUCUUGAGAUGUUCAGUGGUGGCUUUUAGGAAGCUGGACGUUCUCCCCAGGAGAACGACUUCUCAAGAUUUCUGCUCUCUUCCUUCAGGCGUUUGGGGGCUUCAAGAAAAAGAAAACGUGUUUCUCCGUGACUGACGGCUGGGGCCUUCCGACGGCCUGAGGUCUUGGGCCAUUUGGUCACUCUCCGUCUCGGUCCCUCGGAGGGUGAAAGGAUCAGAGGGACCUCGUCCUGCUCAUCGAUCUCCACGCCUGUGGGUUUCUUGGCGUCAGGUCGGAGCUGGGUGGGCCCCGGCCCCGGCCCUCCUCCUGGGUCAUCAUGGCCGUGUCCGCCCAGCUCUUGGUGGAGGAGUUGGAGAUCUUCGGCCUAGAAUGCGAGGAGGCUCUGGUUGAGAAGUUGAUAGAGCUGUGUGUUCUGUAUGGACAGAAUGAGGAGGGAAUGGCUGGCGAGCUUAUAGCCUUCUGCACCAGCACACGUAAAGACUGCCUCACCUCAGAGACCCUAAACUCUUUUGAGCACGAGUUUCUGAGCAAAAGAUUGUCCAAAGCCAGGCUCAGUGCCUCCAAGGACAGUGGGCACGCGGGAGCCAGAGACAUCGUUUCCAUACAAGAGCUAAUUGAAGUGGAGGAGGAAGAGGAGACCCUCUUGAAUGCUUACACCACACCCUCUAAGGGUUCUCAGAAGCGAGCUAUCACCACUCCGGAAACCCCCCUCACAAAAAGGAGUGUGUCUACUCGAAGCCCCCAUCAGCUCCUGUCACCAUCAAGUUUCUCUCCAAGUGCUACUCCCUCUCAGAAAUACAGCUCGAGAAGUAACCGAGGAGAAGUGGUUACCUCCUUUGGCUCAGCACAGGUGAUGUCUUGGUCCGGGAGAGAAGGCGCCAGUAACAUCAGCGUGAAGGUCUUGGGGUAUCCAGAGCCACUAACCGGGAGCUACAAAUCCAUGUUUCAGAAGCUCCCAGACAUUCGAGAAGUUCUGACCUGUAAGAUAGAAGAACUUGGCAGUGAGCUCAAGGAGCAUUACAAGAUUGAGGCUUUUACUCCUGUUCUAGUCACAGCACAAGAGCCCGUCACCCUGCUGGGCCAGAUUGGCUGUGACAGCAACGGGAAGCUGAACCACAAGUCGGUGAUUCUUGAGGGAGAUCGGGAGCAUUCCUCAGGCGCUCAGAUUCCAGUGGAUCUAUCUGAGCUCAAAGAGUAUUCUCUGUUUCCUGGACAGGUUGUGGUUAUGGAAGGAAUCAACACCACUGGUAGAAAACUUGUUGCCACCAGACUCUACGAGGGCGUGCCACUUCCGUUCCAUCAGCCCACUGAAGAGGAUGGAGAUUCUGAGCAAAUCAUGGUCCUGGUGGCCUGUGGGCCAUACACCACAUCUGACAGCAUCACAUUUGACCCCCUGCUCGACCUGAUCACCAUCAUCAACCGUGACCAGCCCGACGUCUGCAUCCUGUUUGGACCUUUCCUGGAUGCUAAGCAUGAACAGGUAGAGAGCUGUCUACUGACAAGCCCAUUUGAAGAAGUUUUCAAGCAAUGUCUACGAACGAUUAUCGAAGGGACACGAAGUAGCUCCGGCUCACACCUCAUCUUCGUCCCAUCAUUGAGAGAUGUGCACCACGAGCCCGUGUACCCACAGCCGCCCUUCAGCUGCUCCGACCUGCCUCGGGAGGACAAAAAGGUACCAGCGUCCCCUCCUCGACCAGGCAGCCAGAGUCCAACGUGCCGAAGGCGACCCAACUCGUCCCGGAAGCAGAGGGCGGGGGCGCCUUUGAGGCACACGUGCCUGCGUCUUAAGCUUCUCUUUGUAACAGGCAGGCGUGUGACUUACUGUCCGUUGGGUUGGUCCCCCUUUCACUGGUCCCCCCAGCCCUUGCAGACCCCCCAUUUUCAUGGGGAAGAAGUUUCUAGCUUUGGUGUGCAAACGUCUGUCCCCCGCUUCUCAUUUUAGCGAGUGCAGUUUGUGUCCGAGCCCUGCACGCUCUCCAUAAAUGGAACGAUCUUUGGCUUGACAUCCACCGAUCUGCUGCUCCACAUGGGGGCUGAGGAGAUCAGUAGGUGAGAAGGGUUUUUCGGUCCCGCAGGCAGUUCCUCUGGAUCCUGGUCCUGUCCUUGGCCAAGGGGUUGCUUGGCAGGGUUGAGAGGGCAGCCCCUAGAGCAGCACUUUCUGCCAAAGCCUUUGGCCACUGAGUUUCUCUGCACCCAAGGGGAGCGGUGGGAUGCAUGUGUUUCUGUUACCACUUGUUUCUGUGGUGUUUGAGACCCUGAAGCACCACAUCCAUUCUGUCUUUGCACUUAACUUCUAGUCAUAGAAGUUCAUCUACUUUUCUUUGUUUGCCACAUUUGUGACCUAAACAAGAUGUCCCUGCUUGUAGAGGGUGACUGUGAAUUCACCCCGCAGGGUGUUCCCCCUUCCAGAACAGUGUGUAGCCCUGCGGAGGAUCAGACACAGCCAGAAGUGUUGAGCUGAGGCUCAGCGGUUCACUGCUCGCAUCGCCAUCAUGGGAAGGAGUGUGGAGCAGUUUGCGUCCUAGGCGAGAAUGGGUGUGUGUUUGUUGGCUCCGGUUGGAGGAGCAAGGGUCACGCCGGCUACAGCUGGCCUCGCGCCGGCACAGACUCCACGUUCUCUGGCACGAUGCGGAGCUGGUGAUAGCCUGCCUGGGCCCUGAUCGCAAGGGGUUCCUGCUCUUUCCCUUCUCAACCCAGUGUCCUGCUCAGCAGACCGAGCAUUUGCGGGCAGGUCUUUAAACUUCCCCAGAGGUACCUUCUUGUCACACGCCUUGGCCGCGUCACUUCUCUCUAGUUUAAUAACUCCUUCCCGAGGAGAAACAGGCACUGAUAAACAAGGUUCCACUUUCCGUUUCUUGCUUUUCUUCCUCUCCUAGUUCUUCCGGAACUUCAGACAGGUUCAGCCGAAUACUCAAGCACAUCCUGACGCAGCGGAGGUGAGCCUGCCCGACGGAGUAGCUGACCGUGAAGGGAGCGCUUAGGGCUCAGGGAGCUCUGACAGAUUUGACCUCGACACCUUUCCCAGGCCACUACCAGGGAACUCCACCCUGGGAUGACAAGCCUGCGUCCUGUCCCCUAAACACAGAGGAAAGGGAGAGACGCUACUACCCGCUCUACCCUCCCCAGGAGGACAUGGCCAUUGACUAUGAGAAUUUCUAUGCCUAUGCACAGCUGCCCGUCACCCCCGAUGUCUUCAUAGCCCCUUCAGAGCUGAGAUACUUUGUGAAGG